CUGUUAAGGUUCCAGCACACACCCACAGUGAUAAGGCAUAAUUCCUUUUCAUAAUUCUGUAAUCAUUAACGUUUGCACUUAGGGACAAGUCUGAAGGACUAUAUAAAAGCACCACAAGGAAUCAUCAGGAAUCUUUGUGGACUAGAGACGAGCUGAGGAGGAGGACACCUAAGUGAAAUACAAAAGAGAUGACAAUGGGGCUCACAGCAGUGCACAUACUUCUCUGUCUUCUAACUGCACCCACUCUUGCGACUAAAGAGUUGGAACUAAGUGUAAGUUCCGAGAUUACCAGGUGUGGCAAAGUUACCCUAAACUGCAACGUGUCAUCUCGAAAUGGAUUAUCAAUCAAAUUAAUGAAGUGGCACCUAAACCAUACACUUUUAUGCUCUGUGGACAGUGAAGGAAACGUUACCUCACACAGAAGAAUCCUAUGUGACUUCCAGUGUGAGUAUAAACAUGGACAAUUCUCCCUCAAGUUUCAAGAAGUGAAUCUCUGUGGAAACUCAAGCAUCUACAAGUGCAAUCUACGUUCCAACCAAGGAGUUGCAAGUGAAAGUACGACAGUGGAGUUUCAAGAGUGUGUUUCGUCCAAUGCGAAGCAGCAAACAUUAGAAAUCCCCAACAACAGGAAUGGAGCUGGAUCACAUGGACCUAUGACAAUAUUUUUGUGUAUUUUGAUCUUACUUGCUGUCACACUGAAAUAAUGAAUUUGCCAAAGUAAAUGCACACCAGGAAGUGUGUGAAGACAAAGUGAAAAGAUAACAGAGGAACAAUACGCCACUGAAAUUUAUUUUAGAAUUUCAUUUCCAAUCAUCUUGCAUGUUCCAAAGUUCUUUUAUUCUUUCUUUUACCUCUAAACUGAAGUCACUGUCAAUUGUCUAAUAAUCAUUACACUGUAUAAAAUUACUCUGUUUGGUUUCGAUAGGUAGUCACAGAUGAGGGAGCAGAGCGUAUUGGUUCCUUUACACUCUUUCAAAAAACAACAAAUACACACAUAGAAACACACAUACACACACAGAGAAACCAACUCUAAUAUAACUGCAAAGGUUCAAGGAGUGCUUUAUCUUGAGCUAUAGACCUUCUAGCCACAGAUUAUUUUCAGGAGUAUGGAUUUAUUUC